UGCUUUAAGUCCUUUUUGUAAGCUUGGGAAUGUAUCCACGGAAAGGAUUUUUCAUAGACGGAAUUUCCAGAAGUGAAUCAUAACUACUGUUAGAGCAUAAGCAUGCAUGAUUGUGCUGUGUAGAUCAGUUUUGUUGAAAGUUUAGAUUGUUGUGUUUGUCAAUUAUAAUUUAAUGUUUCAGUUUUUAUAUGAAAUGUUGUAAAUGUAUACCUUUUUAAAAACUUGAAGUUCCAAUAACUUAAAGCAUUGAAAUAUAAAAUGAGGUAAAAGGUGUUUUGAAUUUAGUAAAACUGUUAUUUAAUGCUUAAAACUUAAUUGAAUUGUAUAAUUCUCAACAUUAAGUUGCAUAGAUAUGUGUUCUUAAGUUGUUGAAUUCUUAAUGCAUCCUGUGUUCAGCAAGUUUUUUUUAAUAUAUACUGUACCAUGGGUGUGUUAAGAAUAGUUAUACUUUAUAAUAAUGGAACUUCAUAUUAUUGCAAUGCAUAUUUAAAGAGUACUUGUUGAAAGCAUACCAUUCACCUAAAGUUAAAAAUUCUGGUUUAUUUAAAGCUAUAAGAAGAAUCAUUUCUGGGCUUGUGAUGUUAAUAUUGCCCCCCUACUGGGGUUAUUUGUCCUUGGGUUGAAGGGUUGGAAAUCGUGCCAAAUGGGAUAACAUUGCCGGUGGACUUCCAGGGGAGGAGUACGGGGGAGGCCUUCGUGCAGUUUGCUUCACAGGAAAUAGCUGAAAAGGCUCUAAAGAAACACAAGGAAAGAAUAGGGCACAGGUGGGGAUGGAUGGUUGGUUGGAUAUGUCACUUUUCUUAUGGUAAACAAUUAAAUCCAUAUUCUCUCUGCUUAAAAGAAGAAAUUAAUGUUUUGUAGUCCUAGGUAAUUGAUGUUUUGCCAUGAUUUCCAAACUUUUCUUAUGUCAGUCCCAUGUUACACGCAAACUAAAUUUUAGGUUUAAAAUUUGUCCCUAGUUAAUUGGUCUGCUUGACAAUUUUGUGAGUCUUAUUAACCCCAAUCAAUAGAGUUGAGAGACUAUGGCUUUAAAAAAUUAAUGCAAACCUGGCUUUAGCUGUAAUAACACCCACCUAGAAUAAAUUAAUAUUACCAUAAGAAAAUGUGAUACUUUCUGAUCUUGUUUUUAAAGUUGAAAUGCAACAAACUUUUUCUUGCUGUAUAUAAAUAUUCUGCAUAGUAUUAAUAAGCAUAGCUUUCAAGAAAUUGUCACAAAAGGUUUUAUUCUCUUUGCUUGUGACUAUUUUUCAUUGAAGCAUGCGCUUACCUAUGCUGAUUCUUACUAAAAGCAUAGGCUGGGGUAUUUAUUGGCGAAAGGAAAUGUGUAGUGUGGGCUGGACUGUUGGUGGAGGCUGGCUUUUUAGCCCACUUGCUAUACAUGCUGCCAAUGGAUUUAAGACUUGAAAUGUUGAAAGUUGAGUGGAAUUAUUUCCCUCCUAAAACAUUUAUUUACAGUACUCCUCUCUACCCCUAAGGUUGGGCUCUGCCUCAGAGGAGUGAGUUUUUUUUUUUUUUUUCUAUAAAGUUUACAUUGUCUUACUAUUUAUUGAGUGAAUUUCUGGUCAUUGCCUAUGCAAAUAUAAGAAAUCUGGCUUUAAAUAUUAGUCAGUUUCAUGGCUAUGACUAGAUUGUUUUCUUGUAUAACUAAAUACCUGUAUAAAAUGAACUAAUGUUUUCUCUCCCCUCCCUACCCCUUCCCUAUGAACAAUGCUUUAGGUAUAUUGAAAUCUUUAAGAGCAGUAGAGCUGAAGUUAGAACUCACUAUGAUCCACCACGAAAGCUUAUGGCCAUGCAGCGGCCAGGUCCUUAUGACAGACCUGGGGCUGGUAGAGGGUAUAACAGCAUUGGCAGAGGAGCUGGCUUUGAGAGGAUGAGGCGUGGUGCUUAUGGUGGAGGCUAUGGAGGCUAUGAUGAUUACAAUGGCUAUAAUGAUGGCUAUGGAUUUGGGUCAGAUAGAUUUGGAAGAGGUAAGGUAAGAAUUGAAUUUCUCAGUUGAAGGAUGCUUACACUCUUGUCCAUCUAGACCUCAAUUACUGUUUUUCAGGAAUGUCUGAUCACAGAUACGGGGAUGGUGGCUCUACUUUCCAGAGCACAACAGGACACUGUGUACACAUGCGGGGAUUACCUUACAGAGCUACUGAGAAUGACAUUUAUAAUUUUUUUUCACCGCUCAACCCUGUGAGAGUACACAUUGAAAUUGGUCCUGAUGGCAGAGUAACUGGUGAAGCAGAUGUCGAGUUCGCAACUCAUGAAGAUGCUGUGGCAGCUAUGUCAAAAGACAAAGCAAAUAUGCGUAAGUGUGAUCGAGCAUUUGUGGGCUCUUAACAGGUGAUUGUGUGACUAACAUUUACAAUAGAGAAAUGGAAAAAUAAGGAUAUAUGAGAAGUUUCCUCUCCAGUAAUAGAUUAAUUCUUGGGGGAUGCGGGGGCAGUGUGUUGAAGGUUUGGGUUUUAAAAAUUAGUAUAACGGAUCUGUGAUAUGCACAUCUUGAAGUGUAUAUCCUUAAUUGACAAUACAGAUGAAUAUGUAAAGGCUAGAUUUUGGAGUUAAAGUAGAUCACCUAAGAGAAGUAGCUAGAAUUUCUUUGCCAAAGUAUUUGAAGUUCACAGAUCUGCUUGUUUAAAAACUUUAUAAAAGUGCUUAUCCUGUUUUGUUUCACCAACAAACAUUUUCAAACUUUUUUUUUCUCAUUUCAGAACACAGAUAUGUAGAACUCUUCUUGAAUUCUACAGCAGGAGCAAGCGGUGGUGCUUACGGUAGCCAAAUGCUAGGAGGCAUGGGUUUGUGUAAAUAUCACUUUAGUGUCUUUUUUUUAAGCUAACCUUGUAUGCCUUUUCUCUCAUUUCAGAACACAGAUAUGUAGAACUCUUCUUGAAUUCUACAGCAGGAGCAAGCGGUGGUGCUUAUGGUAGCCAAAUGAUGGGAGGCAUGGGCUUGUGUAAAUAUCGUUAGUUUUUUUAAAAACCAAAACGUUUAUAUUUGUAUAAGUCAAUUAUAAGUUAAGUUAAUCUAUUUAUUUAAUAAGUUUAGCAUAAGAAACUUAGGCAAAGCAGUUUCUUGAUAUUUGAGUUUUGUAUCUGGCUUACUUAAAUCCUUGUGAGUUAUGAAGUUCCUUAGGAUAGAUAAUUCAAAUUAGAUUUAAGUACUCUUGGGGGAGGGGACUAUGGAGUGAAACUACUUAAAUUUUUUAAGUAUAAAGUUUAAAUCUAAAAUAGCAAAACAGGAUUAAGAUAAAUGUGGGCAUAAUUAGGUGUAUUGACAUGCCUUUGAUGUAUCAAACUGAGGGGGAACCCACUAAAUCCAGUCAAGCAGUUUCAUAAGAUCUUCACAAAAUGCCUCUACUUACGGAAUCAUGUUGAUUUUAGUCCUGCUGAUGUGUGUGCCGUUAGCACUUUGGUUUAUCAGUAUUUGACUGGCUCAAAUGAUGGAUAGAAGGGUGGCCUGGUUAUAGACAGUAGGCAGAAGGAGGCAGAGGGUUACAGUAAUGUAAGAUCAAGACUGGAAAAUGAUAGCUAUAGAAUUACAAGCCCGGUACCACCAGGUACCACAUCACAUAAGAAAAAAGGUUCUAAUGUUUUCUUAACUUAACAGCAAACCAGUCCAGCUACGGGGGCCCAGCCAGCCAGCAGCUGAGUGGGGGUUACGGAGGUGGCUACGGUGGCCAGAGCAGCAUGAGUGGAUACGGUAAAGCCUGUUUGUUACUGUACUUUAAGUUAUGGUAAAGCCUGUUCAUUACUGUACUUAGAGUAAGUUACGGUAAAGCCUGUUUGUUACUGUACUUAGAGUAAGUCGCAGGCAGGUGCCUUUAGUUGGGAAGAUGCAGGCUCCUUUCGGUGAAAUUGGGUUAUGAAAUGUAUGCUUUCAAUCCAAAUGUAACUUUUUACUAGCUAAUUUUCAGAAACAAUCAUUGGGAGGGGGAAGUGUUCUUUGAAUUAAGAACUAGUCAUUGCAGCUUUGGAAUACUGUCGAGCCAGAAAAUAGCUGCCUCCAUGUAUUAAAACAUUAAAUAAAGUUGUUCACUUUUUUGUCUUUUGGUUAGCAUUAAGUCAGUUUUAGACAGAGGGAGAAUUUGAAAUAGUAGAAUGGUGGUUGGGUUCAGGAUCGUAUUUAUUAGUCAGUUAACCUAGGAUUGGUUUUAUUUAUUUUUUUUCAAUUGGUCUAAAGAAUGGUGAUUUUGGUAUUAUAGUCUUACCCUACAAAAUCCUUUUGCAGACCAAGUUUUACAGGAAAACUCCAGUGAUUUUCAAUCAAACAUUGCAUAGGUAAAUAUUUUCUCAAAAAAUAUAAAUUCCCAAUAGCAAAUACUGAUAUGUUGUAAUAAUACUUUCUAUAGCAGUCAAUGGCUCUGACUUAACUCCAUGGAGGCUGCCAUUUGGGCACAGUGAGUUGCCUUUAGUCCAGCUUGGUUGUCUCACUUCCUGCCCACCAUGAAUAGGAAAAGCAAGAGACUUCUCCUGUGCUCCCUUUUCUCAAAUGCCAUUCGAGGGACACAUUGUGAAUGUUUAUGUUAAAUUUUUUUAAAAAGUGCCUUGUUUAGCUUUAAAAAUACGAAGUAAUUUUGCAAUUUUUGAAAAACACUAGUUUUCCUUUAAACUUAACUUUUCAUGUUGAUCCUGAAGAAUCCGUUAAAAUGGUAGCACAAGAGUCUGGCAAGUUGGUACUGGAGAGAAAAGGGGUUAAUUGAGGCUUGUUUGGAGUCGGGAUUCCCCUUUCCCAAACAUGCGUCUCGCCACUUGGACAGCAGCCAUUUGUACUCGUAUACUUUUUAAACUUUUUCUUGGAAUACUAUAUUUUAUUUGACUGGUAGUCUGAUAUUACUCCUAACUUGUCAAAUUGAUCUCUUUGCAGGUAACCAAGGAGCAGUGAACAGCAGCUACUACAGUAGUGGAAGCCGUGCAUCUAUGGGCGUGAACGGAAUGGGAGGGAUGUCUAGCAUGUCCAGUAUGAGUGGUGGAUGGGGAAUGUAAUUGAUCGAUCCUUAUCACUGACUCUUGGUCAACCUUUUUUUUUUUUUUUUUAAGAAAAAAACUUCAGUUUAACAGUUUCUGCAAUACAAGCUUGUGAUUUAUGCUUACUCUAAGUGGAAAUCAGGAUUGUUAUGAAGACUUAAGGCCCAGUAUUUUUGAAUACAAUACUCAUCUAGGAUGUAACAGUGAAGCUGAGUAAACUAUAACUGUUAAACUUAAGUUCCAGCUUUUCUCAAGUUAGUUAUAGGAUGUACUUAAGCAGUAAGCGUAUUUAGGUAAAAGCAGUUGAAUUAUGUUAAAUGUUGCCCUUUGCCACGUUACAUUGAACACUGUUUUGGAUGCAUGUUGAAAGACAUGCUUUUAUUUUUUUGUAAAACAAUAUAGGAGCUGUGUCUACUAUUAAAAGUGAAACAUUUUGGCAUGUUUGUUAAUUCUAGUUUGAUUUAAUAACCUGUAAGGCACGUAAGUUUAAGCUUUUUUUUUUUUUUUUAAGUUAAUGGGAAAAAUUUGAGACGCAAUACCAAUACUUAGGAUUUUGGUCUUGGUGUUUGUAUGAAAUUCUGAGGCCUUGAUUUAAAUCUUUCAUUGUAUUGUGAUUUCCUUUUAGGUAUAUUGCGCUAAGUGAAACUUGUCAAAUAAAUCCUCCUUUUAAAAACUG
rnacentral:sRNA from 1 species